GGAGGAAUAGCUCAGCUGGUAGAGUGCAAACUGAACAUGCACAAGGUUCUUGGUUCAACUCCCAGUACUUCCA
rnacentral:tRNA from 1 species